GAUUAAGUUAUUAAGGGCGCACGGUGGAUGCCUUGGCACUAGAAGCCGACGAAGGACGUUACUAACGACGAUAUGCUUUGGGUAGCUGUAAGUAAGCGUUGAUCCAGAGAUUUCCGAAUGGGGGAACCCAGCACGAGUUAUGUCGUGUUAUCGACAAGUGAAUUCAUAGCUUGUCAGAAGGCAGACCCGGAGAACUGAAACAUCUUAGUACCCGGAGGAAGAGAAAGAAAAAUCGAUUCCCUGAGUAGCGGCGAGCGAAACGGGAAGAGCCCAAACCAAUAAGCUUGCUUAUUGGGGUUGUAGGACACUCUAUACGGAGUUACAAAGGAAUAUAUUAGACGAAUCAUCUGGAAAGUUGAAUCAAAGAAGGUAAUAAUCCUGUAGUUGAAAAUAUAUUCUCUCUUGAGUGGAUCCUGAGUACGACGGAGCACGUGAAAUUCCGUCGGAAUCUGGGAGGACCAUCUCCUAAGGCUAAAUACUCUCUAGUGACCGAUAGUGAACCAGUACCGUGAGGGAAAGGUGAAAAGUACCCCGGAAGGGGAGUGAAAGAGAACUUGAAACCGUGUGCUUACAAGUAGUCAGAGCCCGUUAAUGGGUGAUGGCGUGCCUUUUGUAGAAUGAACCGGCGAGUUACGAUCUGAUGCAAGGUUAAGCAGGAGAUGUGGAGCCGUAGCGAAAGCGAGUCUGAAUAGGGCGUUGAGUAUUUGGUCGUAGACCCGAAACCAGGUGAUCUACCCAUGGUCAGGUUGAAGUUCAGGUAACACUGAAUGGAGGACCGAACCGACUUACGUUGAAAAGUGAGCGGAUGAACUGUGGGUAGCGGAGAAAUUCCAAUCGAACUUGGAGAUAGCUGGUUCUCUCCGAAAUAGCUUUAGGGCUAGCCUCAAGUGAUGAUUAUUGGAGGUAGAGCACUGUUUGGACGAGGGGCCCCUCUCGGGUUACCGAAUUCAGACAAACUCCGAAUGCCAAUUAAUUUAACUUGGGAGUCAGAACAUGGGUGAUAAGGUCCGUGUUCGAAAGGGAAACAGCCCAGACCACCAGCUAAGGUCCCAAAAUAUAUGUUAAGUGGAAAAGGAUGUGGCGUUGCCCAGACAACUAGGAUGUUGGCUUAGAAGCAGCCAUCAUUUAAAGAGUGCGUAAUAGCUCACUAGUCGAGUGACACUGCGCCGAAAAUGUACCGGGGCUAAACAUAUUACCGAAGCUGUGGAUUGUCCGUAGGACAAUGGUAGGAGAGCGUUCUAAGGGCGUUGAAGCAUGAUCGCAAGGACAUGUGGAGCGCUUAGAAGUGAGAAUGCCGGUGUGAGUAGCGAAAGACGGGUGAGAAUCCCGUCCACCGAUUGACUAAGGUUUCCAGAGGAAGGCUCGUCCGCUCUGGGUUAGUCGGGUCCUAAGCUGAGGCCGACAGGCGUAGGCGAUGGAUAACAGGUUGAUAUUCCUGUACCACCUAGCAUCGUUUUAAUCGAUGGGGGGACGCAGUAGGAUAGGCGAAGCGUACGAUUGGAUUGUACGUCCAAGCAGUGAGAUUGAGUGUUAGGCAAAUCCGGCACUCUUAAGAUUGAGCUGUGAUGGGGAGAGGAAAUUGUUUCCUCGAGUCGUUGAUUUCACACUGCCGAGAAAAGCCUCUAGAUAGAUAAUAGGUGCCCGUACCGCAAACCGACACAGGUAGUCAAGAUGAGAAUUCUAAGGUGAGCGAGCGAACUCUCGUUAAGGAACUCGGCAAAAUGACCCCGUAACUUCGGGAGAAGGGGUGCUCUUUAGGGUGCAAGCCCAGAAGAGCCGCAGUGAAUAGGCCCAAGCGACUGUUUAUCAAAAACACAGGUCUCUGCUAAACCGUAAGGUGAUGUAUAGGGGCUGACGCCUGCCCGGUGCUGGAAGGUUAAGAGGAGUAGUUAGCUUCUGCGAAGCUACGAAUCGAAGCCCCAGUAAACGGCGGCCGUAACUAUAACGGUCCUAAGGUAGCGAAAUUCCUUGUCGGGUAAGUUCCGACCCGCACGAAAGGCGUAACGAUUUGGGCACUGUCUCAACGAGAGACUCGGUGAAAUCAUAGUACCUGUGAAGAUGCAGGUUACCCGCGACAGGACGGAAAGACCCCGUGGAGCUUUACUGUAGCCUGAUAUUGAAAUUCGGCACAGCUUGUACAGGAUAGGUAGGAGCCUUUGAAACGUGAGCGCUAGCUUACGUGGAGGCGCUGGUGGGAUACUACCCUAGCUGUGUUGGCUUUCUAACCCGCACCACUUAUCGUGGUGGGAGACAGUGUCAGACGGGCAGUUUGACUGGGGCGGUCGCCUCCUAAAAGGUAACGGAGGCGCUCAAAGGUUCCCUCAGAAUGGUUGGAAAUCAUUCAUAGAGUGUAAAGGCAUAAGGGAGCUUGACUGCGAGACCUACAAGUCGAGCAGGGUCGAAAGACGGACUUAGUGAUCCGGUGGUUCCGCAUGGAAGGGCCAUCGCUCAACGGAUAAAAGCUACCCCGGGGAUAACAGGCUUAUCUCCCCCAAGAGUUCACAUCGACGGGGAGGUUUGGCACCUCGAUGUCGGCUCAUCGCAUCCUGGGGCUGUAGUCGGUCCCAAGGGUUGGGCUGUUCGCCCAUUAAAGCGGUACGCGAGCUGGGUUCAGAACGUCGUGAGACAGUUCGGUCCCUAUCCGUCGUGGGCGUAGGAAAUUUGAGAGGAGCUGUCCUUAGUACGAGAGGACCGGGAUGGACAUACCUCUGGUGUACCAGUUGUCGUGCCAACGGCAUAGCUGGGUAGCUAUGUAUGGACGGGAUAAGUGCUGAAAGCAUCUAAGCAUGAAGCCCCCCUCAAGAUGAGAUUUCCCAACUUCGGUUAUAAGAUCCCUCAAAGAUGAUGAGGUUAAUAGGUUCGAGGUGGAAGCGUGGUGACACGUGGAGCUGACGAAUACUAAUCGAUUGAAGACUUAAUCAA
rfam:Staphylococcus haemolyticus JCSC1435 DNA, complete genome.